rnacentral:rRNA from 2 species
AAGUCUGACGGAGCAACGCCGCGUGAGUGAUGAAGGUUUUCGGAUCGUAAAGCUCUGUUGUUAGGGAAGAACAAGUGCAAGAGUAACUGCUUGCACCUUGACGGUACCUAACCAGAAAGCCACGGCUAACUACGUGCCAGCAGCCGCGGUAAUACGUAGGUGGCAAGCGUUGUCCGGAAUUAUUGGGCGUAAAGGGCUCGCAGGCGGUUUCUUAAGUCUGAUGUGAAAGCCCCCGGCUCAACCGGGGAGGGUCAUUGGAAACUGGGAAACUUGAGUGCAGAAGAGGAGAGUGGAAUUCCACGUGUAGCGGUGAAAUGCGUAGAGAUGUGGAGGAACACCAGUGGCGAAGGCGACUCUCUGGUCUGUAACUGACGCUGAGGAGCGAAAGCGUGGGGAGCGAACAGGAUUAGAUACCCUGGUAGUCCACGCCGUAAACGAUGAGUGCUAAGUGUUAGGGGGUUUCCGCCCCUUAGUGCUGCAGCUAACGCAUUAAGCACUCCGCCUGGGGAGUACGGUCGCAAGACUGAAACUCAAAGGAAUUGACGGGGGCCCGCACAAGCGGUGGAGCAUGUGGUUUAAUUCGAAGCAACGCGAAGAACCUUACCAGGUCUUGACAUCCUCUGACAACCCUAGAGAUAGGGCUUUCCCUUCGGGGACAGAGUGACAGGUGGUGCAUGGUUGUCGUCAGCUCGUGUCGUGAGAUGUUGGGUUAAGUCCCGCAACGAGCGCAACCCUUGAUCUUAGUUGCCAGCAUUUCAGUUGGGCACUCUAAGGUGACUGCCGGUGACAAACCGGAGGAA